rnacentral:rRNA from 1 species
AUUGAACGCUGGCGGCAGGCUUAACACAUGCAAGUCGAGCGAGCGGCGGACGGGUGAGGAAUGUCUGGGAAACUGCCUGAUGGAGGGGGAUAACUACUGGAAACGGUAGCUAAUACCGCAUAACAUCAGAUGUGCCCAGAUGGGAGUAGCUAGUAGGUGGGGUAAUGGCUCACCUAGGCGCCGAUCCCUAGCUAGACUGAGAGGGUGACCGGCCACACGUGAACGGAGACACGGUCCAGACUCCGACGGGAGGAAGCCGUGGGGAAUAUUGCACAAGGGGGGCAAGCCUGAUGCAGCCAUGCCGCGGGUGGGAGGAAGGCCUUCGGUUUGUAAAGCACUUUCAGCGAGGAGGCGUUACUCGCAGAAGAAGCACCGGCUAACUCCGUGCCAGCAGCCGCGGUAAUAC